rnacentral:rRNA from 1 species
UUCGCAAUGCCCGAAAGGGUGACGAAGCGACGCCGCGUGGGUGAAGAAGGCCUUCGGGUUGUAAAGCCCUGUCAGGAGUUAUGAAAUGUAGGUGCGAUAAUACCGUGCCUAUUUGACAAAGGCUCCAAAGGAAGCCACGGCUAACUCUGUGCCAGCAGCCGCGGUAAUACAGAGGUGGCAAGCGUUGUUCGGAAUUAUUGGGCGUAAAGAGCACGUAGGUGGGUUUGUAAGUCAGAUGUGAAAGCCUUCUGUUCAACGGAAGAAUUGCAUCUGAAACUGCGAGUCUUGAGUGUAGGAGGGGAGAAUGGAACUUCUGGUGGAGCGGAGGAAUGCGUAGAUAUCAGAAGGAACGCCGGCGGCGAAAGCGAUUCUCUGGCCUAUUACUGACACUGAGUGUGCGAAAGCUAGGGGAGCAAACGGGAUUAGAUACCCCGGUAGUCCUAGCCGUAAACGAUGGGCACUAAGUAGAGGGGUUUU